rnacentral:rRNA from 1 species
CUACGGGAGGCACCAGGCGAGAAAACUUUGCAAUGUGCGAAAGCACGACAAGGUUAAUCCGAGUGGUUUGUGCUAAACGAACCUUUUGACAGUCCUAGAAACACUGUUGAAUAAGGGGUGGGCAAGUUCUGGUGUCAGCCGCCGCGGUAAAACCAGCACCUCAAGUGGUCAGGAUGAUUAUUGGGCCUAAAGCAUCCGUAGCCGGCUCUGUUAGUUUUCGGUUAAAUCUGUACGCUCAACGUACAGGCUGCCGGGAAUACUGCAGAGCUAGGGAGUGGGAGAGGUAGACGGUACUCGGUAGGAAGGGGUAAAAUCCUUUGAUCUAUUGAUGACCACCUGUGGCGAAGGCGGUCUACCAGAGCACGUCCGACGGUGAGGGAUGAAAGCUGGGGGAGCAAACCGGAUUAGAUACCCUAGUAGUC